UUUCAAGUAAGCAUUAAUUGCUUAGUUUUCAAUAUUACCCCAUGUAUUAAAUGUAACUUUGGUUCUCUUACUAUUUUCUGUUCAAUAAAUAACAAUCUCUUUUUCUAAUAUAAGGGCAAAAUAAACAAUUGAUAUUAUAGUUAAUGCUAUAUAAUCAUUUUCUUAAUACUUGUGCACAACUCUAAAACGACCUAUAUUAAGGAACAGGAGUAGUAUUUAUGUAUAGGAAACUGUUAAAUUCACAACAAAAAAUGUUUUCCACAACAAAAGUGUCACUAUAGAUCCUAUAGCUACAGUUUUCACUGUCGCUAUACAUUUACAGUGACACUUGUUAUGAAAAUAACAAAAAAUAUUAUGAAUUUAACAAUUCCCUAAUAUAUAUUGGGAUUACUUAACGUGGACGGUCCAAAAAGGUAUUCAGUUGUACGUUUAGUUUUUUCCUUUUGAUAUUAUAUUAUAAUAUUAUGGAGUAUACGCUUUACACGUUAUACUACUCAUCAUUCACACUGCUACCAGUAAAUGAAGAAGAGAAAGGCGGCUAGCAGCUAAAGGAAUAAUAAUUUUCAAUUUGGAUCGGAAUGAAAUAUGGAUUAAAAAAUGGUUAAUCGGUUCAAAUUUAUAUUUGUUUUAAAAAAUAUGGAUUCAAACUUUAACUAACCUGAAUAAAUUAACUAACUCAUUUAGUUCCAGUUAAUAUGAUUUGACUCAACAGUUAAUUAACUAUAUUGCCAGAGUGUACCUCUGACAUAAAGAAUCAAUAUUUCUAUUAUAUAUCUAAGAGAUGCAAUAUUACUGGUAGCACCACAACUUCAGAGUCAUACGUAGAGAAAUCCACUCAUCAUAACUAUGUUUAGUAGAGAGAGGAAGAAACGAAUCGACGACUCUAACUGGAGCAUGAAAAUAAUAGUGUUUUUAGAUAUCUACCAACUACAACUGGGAAAGGAAUUCAAGAAGUUUUAAGACGGGACCAAGAGCCAUGCAUGCAUUCCAAAUUCUUUCAGGUAACUUGAGACUUCUGGCGCUUUAUAUACUGAAGGAUAGGCUCCUUAACCUGUAAACAGAAAAAGGGCAUGGAAAUAUAUCAGUUUCUCAACGUUGAAAUUCUAAUCAGUGAUGGAUAUAUAUAGUAUACCAGAUUAUAGACAAAGCCAUGGAAGGAACUUGAAGCUUACCGUGCUUGCUUUCCUGGAGCGCUUGUUCUGAGUAGAUGAUCUGCUACAAAUGACUGCAUCAAACUUAUCACAAUUGCCAUUUUCCAUAACUUGUGCAAAACUCUCUCUUGACGCUACUGGCUGCAUAAUUUACCAAAAUAACAUGAUUUAUUUCAGAUUUAUAGGAUUCUGGUAAAAGAAAAUUCGUU
rnacentral:lncRNA from 1 species